rnacentral:rRNA from 1 species
UACGUAGGGGGCAAGCGUUGUUCGGAAUGACUGGGCGUAAAGGGUGCGUAGGCGGGUUAUCAAGUCAGCGGUAAAAUCGUGGAGCUCAACUCCAUCCAGCCGUUGAAACUGAUGAUCUUGAGUGGGCGAGAAGUAUGCGGAAUGCGUGGUGUAGCGGUGAAAUGCAUAGAUAUCACGCAGAACUCCGAUUGCGAAGGCAGCAUACCGGCGCCCGACUGACGCUGAAGCACGAAAGCGUGGGUAUCGAACAGG